UCAGCACUCAAUAUUCACCUCACAGACUAGGAAUCAGGACUUUCCCAAUUAGAAAUGUAUCCAACUAAAGACAGUGUCCCCAGCAAGAGGAUGAACACAUUACACCUUUCAGGGGAUCUGGGAGCAGAAGGUCCAAACCAGCAGCAAGCUGCAGUUCCCAUGGCUGUUCAAGUUCCAUGAGCAACUGCUUGGAGGACUAAUUCUCAAAAAAGGCAGAUACACAUGAUCAUCUCCAGCAACAGAUGAAGAUCAUAGAGAAAUGCCUGAAACAUAAACAUAAA